rnacentral:tRNA from 1 species
GUAUCAGUAGUUUAUAAAUAAAACAUUGCCCUGAAAAGGCAAAGAAGAACCACCUUUCCUAAUACGC